AAGCCCUUACCUGACCCGUCCAGCAGGUCCAGUUAUUCAAGGGUCUUGAGGGGACCUUCUUCUAAGAACCAAAUUGGGGGAUGGUGGGGUGAAGGACGGACACCAAGUGCGAGGAACGACAGAUUCUUAUCAACUGGCUGACUCAUUGGCAGAUGCUUGCAUUUCCUAAAAUGGAGUUGAAUGUGAAUUAUAACUUCCACUGCAAAUAGGAAGAGCACUUAACGAAACACAUCCUCUUAUCCCAGUGGGACAACAUAAGGCGAGAUCUCCCCUCCCCCAACACGCUUUGGACACCUCUCUCUGCCAGGCAGAACUACACACUGCUCCGAUUCUCCUGCGGAUCAAAGGCAUCUCUUGCCACACUCCCAAUCAUCAGUGGUGGCAUCUGAGCACUGGAGGGAAGAUAACCCAAAGCCAUGGGGACAGGGUUCCCUCGACUUCCCUUUGGGAACGUUGGGGGCUUGCUGCGCACUGCUGGUUCUCACAACUGACUUUGGGAGAGAGGAGGAGAUGAGCGAGGGGCAUCAUGGAGGAUCAACAACUCACAGCAUCCUGGGUGCUUUCCCCUCUUGGAAAGGAUGGGGCUCAUAGUCCAGACUAGGGAAUGGGCCUGGGAGACACACUUUCUCUAUCUCAUUAUGGGUGGGGGGCGGCACUGACAGCUACACUAGAGAUUUGUAAAAGGGGGGUGGGUGGGUUCAUUUAGCAUCAAAAUAUAAAGCUCAGACAGGAGUUUGGGGUGGCUUGAAAAGGUGCUGAACAGCAUCAUGGAAAUUUCCAGAGCAUGAUGUAGGUCCUCAGGAGGCACAAAACAUGGUGAAUAGCAACUCACCACUUCUGUGGGAGCCUAACCAGAGCUCCCAAGGUCCCACCGGGCCUGUGACUCUGUGACCCCUCACUCCUGCCCAACUCCAGCCAGAGAAGAAAGGGUUACACACGAGACAAGUUAGCACAGACACUCGUGUCUCACAUCACACUGGGUACCUAGGGGCGGAUGUGGACACACCCAAGGAGAUGCGCUCCCCCAAGAGAGGAGAAAUGUAUCCUCAACGACAGGGAAAAUUCCUCAAGGAGAAAAAGGGAACAAAAGACAAUGAAAUUAUCAUCAUGAUCACACUACAGAAAACAAAACAAAACAAAACAAAACAAAACAAAACAAAAAAACCCUUCCAUUCUUUGCAAAAAAAAAAAAGUGUGAAGGC
ensembl:processed_transcript C230038L03Rik RIKEN cDNA C230038L03 gene